GUCCCUUCGGAGACAUCCGAUAAAAUUGGAACGAUACAGAGAAGAUUAGCAUGGUCCUUGCGCAAGGAUGACACACACAAAUCGGGAAAUGGUCCAAAUUUUU
rnacentral:snRNA from 1 species